rnacentral:lncRNA from 1 species
CCCUAGGAAAAAACUCUCCUGACAGUUGCCUCCGAGAGAGAGAGACAAUGCAGAGCAGAGGAACCUGACAUGUUCACUUAAUGAGGGAAAAGCAUUUUCCAAUUUUAAUCAUUUUUAUUUUGCUAUUUGUAACUAGUUCAUUGGAAUCUAGAAAAGGACCUCAAAGAUACACUCUCAACACUGUAUGCCUGCUCCACAUAUAUCAUCUUUGCAAGGGUUCUAAGAACAAGAAUUUUCUUGGUGCAUCGAUUACAAUGCAGCAUGCACACUUUCACUGUUAGCUGAGGACCAAAAGAUGGCAUUGGUGGAUCCUACGUAAACCCAACAUCUUCCAUCACACCAUUCCCCAUCCAAGUAUUCUCUUGCCACGUUAUGGGUCUUAUCUCUGUGAUUCUAAAAGUUUGAAACCAGGACACUUUGCAUUUUAGAAUAUUGCUGAAUAUUCAGAAAGAAUGAUAUGCAUUAAUGAUACACACUAGAAUAUUAGAGUUUAUCCAGUGUUAAUAUAAUUAUGUAGAGUUGUGUUUACUUGUAUCUAGACAACCCACCCCUUUAUUUUUAAUUUCUUUUAGUUUAGGCUGUGAAUAUUUUUCACAGCUCUAGUUACAAAGCAAACUUUAUUACUGCUCUUUGAAAUCAAUCAUUUAACACCUGUUUCAAAAGUAAAUAAAUGUUAAUUGACAGUUUUAUUAUCAUUCAAAACACCUUCUCCCUAAUUAAUUCAGGGUGAGAUUCUCAGUCAUCAUUUAGUUCUAACUAAGUGUCAAGAGACUUAAAAGUAUGAGAUUUCAGUAAUUAAUAACAUAGAGUGUUAUGCCUCCAUGGAUAAUGUUUAUUUAUGUUUAUGUGUCAUGGUUUUACAUAAAGUUAUAUAACAUCUCAACAUAUUUAGCACUCUUUUUUCAUUCAAUGUGAAAAGAAAAUGUUUCUUCCAUUUGCUUUUCUUGAAAAAUUCCUGUUCAGUGGGUAAUUACACACUCAUCUGGUUUUCAAUGAUGAGAAAAACACUCAUGUUGGCAGAUGGUAUCAUUGGUUAUUGAGAAAGGAAUAUCAUAGAAAUAUACUAUUACUGCAGAAUUCACUGUUGGUCAAUUGAUCCAAAAAUCUAUACAAGGUGAAUACAAAGCAGGGAAGAAAAGUGUUCCCAGUUCAUAUAAUUCACUAUUAUUUUUUAUUUGAAAACUGUGACAAUAAUUGGAAUAUGCAUGCAAUUAUAUAGUUUAUAUUAUUUUAUAUCAUUAUACCCAUCGGACUUACUAGAAUAUUUAGACCUUUAAAAUAUAAUUAUUAUUUUUACAUUUCCAAAUGAUUUAAUUCUGAAUUGUCUCUUUUUUUACAAGUUGAUACUAACUUGUAAGCAAAUAACAUUUGUCUAGUGCUUUAUGUCUUGACAUCAUUUCCACAUAUGUAACCUCAUUUAAUUCUCAUGAAAUUACUGAGAGCUUUUGUUACUCUCAUGCAACCAAAUGGACAGGUGUAAAUGUUCUCUCAAAGUCAUAGAGCUGGCAACUUGCAAAGGUUAUCUCUAUCUUUGAGUGAGUCAUCCAUACUUCUGAAUGUACAACUAUAAAUGAAGGGUUCCCAGGAACCCUCCUCAAAUUUGAUAAGUUUGAGAUAACCUCACAGAACUCAGAAAGGUGUUUUACUUACUGUUACCAAUUUAUUUAAAAGCACACAACUCAGGAACAACAAAAUUGAAAAGACACACAGGGGAUAGUUGUGGAAAGGGCUUGGAGCUUCCAUUCCCUCCAGGUGCACCCCUCUCUUGGCACCUGUAUCUGAAGCUCUCUGAACCCAGUCCUCAUCCUGAAUCUUUCUAGGAGCCCACCAGAGUUGCCUCAUUAGAACAAAAGAUGCUCCUUUCAGAACUUCUCACUCAGAAAAUUCCAAAGGUUUUAGGAUCCCUGUGCUAGCAACAAGGAUAAAGACCAAAUAUCUUUCUCAUUAUGCCUCAGUAGGGGACAUAUGUCAUUUAGGAGCCUGAAAUACAUAAAUAUAUGCUGUUAAUACAUGUUAGGGUAUUGUAACAUGUAGGUUGUGGCUAUAUGAAAGCAAUAUAAUUCCAUUAGGGAGUAGCAUAUUUUUAAUAAUUCCAUAUUUUUAAGUAUGGUUUAUCUUAAGGGGAGGCUGAAAGAGUCACAUGGAGACAACUCUUUCCCAUCCUUUCAUUAUUUUAUUCUUUUUUUUUUUUCACAUGAAGAUAAAGAAAACAGAGCAUUUUAAGAAUUGAAUGCUUGGAGUUUUUUCUUUCUUUCUUUUUCUUUUUUGGCUUUUGUCUUUUUAGGGCUUCACCUGUGGCAAAUGGAGGUUCCCAGGCUAGGGGUCUAAUUGGAGCCAUAGCUGCCAGCCUAUGCCACAGCCACAGCAAUGCCAGAUCUGAGUCGUGUCUGUGACCCACACCACAGCUCUGCAAGCCACACCAGAGCUUGGCCCACACCACAGCUCAGGGCAACGCCGGAUCCUUAACCCACUGAGGAAGGUCAGAGAUUGAACCCUCAACCUCAUGGUUCAUAGUCAGAUUCAUUUCCACUGUGCCACGAUGGAAACUCUGAAUGCUUGGAGUUUCUACUGAGGUGCAAUGGGAUUGGUGGUGUCUCUGGAGCACUGUGAACAGGUUUGAUUCCCAGCCAGCACAAUGGGUUAAACGAUCUAGCACGUUAUUGCAGCAGUGGCAUAGGUUGCAACUAUAGCUCAAAUAAUGAUCCCUAGCCCAGGAUCAAAUACAGUGGGACAGCAGCAAAAAAAAAAAAAGAAUUCUUUCAAAACAGCAACUAAUAUAGUGAGGAGACCCAACACAAGGGGAAGAAAUAGGUAAAGAUACAAUAAGGAGAUCUGUUAAGACCUAAAUGCAGGUACUGUGUGUUAAAUCUUAUAUUAGAAAUUUUAUAUGCAUAACUGAAAUCUAUCCUGAAAAUAACUCAAUGAGUUAGGCACUUUUAUCACUUGCCCCAUUCAUUCUACUAAUGAAGACACUAUGUUUAGAAUAGGCAAGUACUUUAUUCCAUAUUAAAAACUAACUAGAUGCCUCAACAAAGGGUACUGGGGUAACUGGAUAUCCACAGACAAUGUAUAAAGUUGAGCCUUGCCCUAAACACUCAAAAAUUAGCAAAAAUGAAUCAUAGACCAAAAAUGUAAGAACUACAUAUAAUAAAGUUAUUAUAAGAAAAUAUAGGAGGAGGAGUUCCCUGGUGGCCUAGUGGUUAAGGAUUCUGUAUUAUCGCUGCUGUGGCUCAGGUUUGAUCCCUGGCCUAGGAACUGCUGCAUGCCAUGGGUGGAGCCAUAAAUAAAUAAAUAAAUAAAUAAAUAAAUAAUAAAUAAA